rnacentral:rRNA from 1 species
GACGAACGCUGGCGGCGUGCCUAAUACAUGCAAGUAGAACGCUGAAGAGAGGAGCUUGCUCUUCUUGGAUGAGUUGCGAACGGGUGAGUAACGCGUAGGUAACCUGCCUUGUAGCGGGGGAUAACUAUUGGAAACGAUAGCUAAUACCGCAUAACAAUGGAUGACACAUGUCAUUUAUUUGAAAGGGGCAAUUGCUCCACUACAAGAUGGACCUGCGUUGUAUUAGCUAGUAGGUGAGGUAACGGCUCACCUAGGCGACGAUACAUAGCCGACCUGAGAGGGUGAUCGGCCACACUGGGACUGAGACACGGCCCAGACUCCUACGGGAGGCAGCAGUAGGGAAUCUUCGGCAAUGGGGGCAACCCUGACCGAGCAACGCCACGUGAGUGAAGAAGGUUUUCGGAUCGUAAAGCUCUGUUGUAAGUCAAGAACGAGUGUGAGAGUGGAAAGUUCACACUGUGACGGUAGCUUACCAGAAAGGGACGGCUAACUACGUG